rnacentral:rRNA from 1 species
CCUACGGGUGGCAGCAGUGAGGAAUAUUGGUCAAUGGGCGAGAGCCUGAACCAGCCAAGUCGCGUGAAGGAUGAAGGAUCUAUGGUUUGUAAACUUCUUUUAUAUGUGAAUAAAGUGAGGAACGUGUUCCUUUUUGUAUGUACCAUCUGAAUAAGCAUCGGCUAACUCCGUGCCAGCAGCCGCGGUAAACCGGAGGAUGCGAGCGUUAUCCGGAUUUAUUGGGUUUAAAGGGUGCGUAGGUGGUUUAUUAAGUCCGCGGUGAAAGUUUGGGGCUCAACCCGAAAACUGCCGUUGAUACUGGUUGACUAGAGUAUAUUUGAGGUAGGCGGAAUGCGUGGUGUAGCGGUGAAAUGCUUAGAUAUCACGCAGAACUCCGAUUGCGAAGGCAGCUUACUAAACUAUAUCUGACACUGAAGCACGAAAGCGUGGGGAUCAAACAGGAUUAGAUACCCGAGUAGUC